UGCAUGUGUGAAGAAAUAAAUAAGCGAAAAUG
rnacentral:piRNA from 1 species